UACGUAGGGGGCAAGCGUUGUCCGGAUUUAUUGGGCGUAAAGAGCGUGUAGGCGGCCAGACAGGUCCGUUGUGAAAACUCGAGGCUCAACCUCGAGAUGUCGAUGGAAACCGUCUGGCUAGAGUCCGGAAGAGGAGUGUGGAAUUCCUGGUGUAGCGGUGAAAUGCGCAGAUAUCAGGAGGAACACCAGUGGCGAAGGCGGCACUCUGGGCCGGUACUGACGCUGAGGAGCGAAAGCGUGGGGAGCGAACAGG
rnacentral:rRNA from 1 species